rnacentral:rRNA from 1 species
AGCGAACGCUGGCGGCAGGCCUAACACAUGCAAGUCGAACGAAGUCUUCGGACUUAGUGGCGGACGGGUGAGUAACACGUGGGAACGUGCCUUUAGGUUCGGAAUAACUCAGGGAAACUUGUGCUAAUACCGAAUGUGCCCUUCGGGGGAAAGAUUUAUCGCCUUUAGAGCGGCCCGCGUCUGAUUAGCUAGUUGGUGGGGUAAUGGCCCACCAAGGCUACGAUCAGUAGCUGGUCUGAGAGGAUGACCAGCCACAUUGGGACUGAGACACGGCCCAAACUCCUACGGGAGGCAGCAGUGGGGAAUCUUGCGCAAUGGGCGAAAGCCUGACGCAGCCAUGCCGCGUGGAGGAAGAAGGCCUUCGGGUUGUAAACUGCUUUUGCGUGGGAAGAAUUUUGACGGUACCACGAGAAUAAGGGGUUGCUAACUCUGUGCCAGCCGCCGCCGUAA